CCCGAAGCAUGGAGAGAAUACCAACCACUUUCGAUGCUAGGGAGCGGAUCUGGAGUGGAGCCAAACGAGUCGCUACAUACACCGAUGAUACUUCUCUGGGGAAGAUAAUAUACAACGUCAUGAGGAACUGGCCGAAGAAUGUCUGUCAGAUCAACGAUGUGGACGGCGUGGAACUGACCUUUGAGAAGGCCAUAACCUGGGCUGUUCGUAUUGCUCAGAGCUUAAAGAAAAAGGGACUGAAACAUCCGGAUGUAAUAGGCAUUACUGCGAGGAACUCAACAUAUGUAACGCCUGUGGCUGUUGCUUGUCUCUUGAAUGGAACAGCCUUCCACGCGGUAAAUCCAGUCUCGGACGAAGCUACGUUGAGACACAUUUUCUCGAUAACCAAACCAACUAUAAUAUUCUGCGAUGGACAGGAGUACGAGAAGGUUCGUUCCGCGACCAAAGGAUGGGAACCGGAGAUCUUUACCAUCACUGACCCCAUCGAGGGGGUGCCUCACAUCGAAACACUUUUGGAUCCCACAAAAACCGAAAUGUUUUACCAGCCUGAACCUUUGGCAGAAGGCGGCAAGCAGACUGUGGCCAUACUGUGCUCUUCUGGAACCACUGGGUUACCCAAGGCUGUCUGCAUUUCGAAUCAAACUCUUUUCAUGGAUUUUUCUAUGUUGAACAGCGAAUCGGUCGUAUUUUCUGCCAGUGGACUGGAUUGGUACAGUGGUCUGACUUCUUUCCUCUUGAGCACAGUGGUUGGCUGCACCAGGAUUAUAACCAGCAACCCAUUCGCACCGGACUACUUUGUGAAGCUCGUUGAAAAGUAUAGGAUCAACUCUGUUAUACUGCCCCCGCGCCAUAUGUCUGCCCUCGUCGCAUUUCCCGGGGCCACAAAGGAGGCCUUAGCCUCCCUUCGGAGCAUAUCCUACGGAGGUGGAUUCACGUCCAUGACUACCCUUAAAAAGAUACAGGAGCUCUGUCCAAAUGCACUGUUGAUUUCUGGAUACGGAUUGACCGAGGUGGGUGGAGUUGCGUUUAAUUUCGGACUCGCAAACGUCAACACAACUGGCAAACCAAUACCGGGAAUUAGAGUUCGCAUUGUGAACGAUGAUGGGAAAAACCUGGGUCACAAUGAGCAGGGAGAGAUCUAUGUCCACACAGGACUUCAUUGGAGUGGCUACUACGGCAAUCCAGAGGAUACUCGUAAAACUCAGGACCCUGAGGGAUGGAUUCACACCGGUGACCUGGGCUAUUUUGAUGAUCAGAACCUGCUCUAUGUGGUCGACCGCAAGAAGGAGAUACUCAAGUACCAGGGCAACCACUACUGGCCCUCUGAGAUCGAAGGCGUAAUCUCGGAGCUGCCCCAGGUGGAGGAGGUGUGUGUCAUUAGCAUCUACGAUGAGCAACAGGGGGAUGCGGCUGGUGCACUGGUGGUCAAGCAAAAGGAGUCCUCAAUUACCGCAAAGGAUAUUUUGGAUCAUGUGGCCAAGAGGUUGCCUUCAAUCCAGAAGCAGCUCCACGCCGGAGUCCAGUUUACGGCUAAACUGCCCACCAACCCAAAUGGAAAGACGUUGCGUCGUAUGGCGCUAGAGGAAUUCGUUGCUAGAAAAGGAGGUGGAAAAUAAGGUUUUCCAAAGAUAAGGAUAAGAUAAAUUUAAUGUUAUAGACAUUUUUAUAAUUAUAUGAAGGAAUCACUUAGACAUAUCCUAAGGCUGUGCCCAUUAUGGAUAUCUCGAGAUGCAACGACCACUUACGCGUAGUCCAUAUGUACUUCAUAUGUUUUAUGACCAUCUGCGGGCAGAAUUUCAUGUUAGCUGCUUAAGAGAAUACUUUGUUAGAAUAAACUCAGUUGUUAUACAGAACUCAACGAGAAAGUUUGUUUAUCCUUACUACGGAUAAUCCUUACAGUAAUAGAAACCUUUUUGCAGGUUUAGUUAAAUUCACUGAAACAUUCAAACUGGUAGUUUUGAGUGGGUUU